rnacentral:rRNA from 1 species
CAGUAGCCGCGGUAAUACGAAGGGGGCUAGCGUUGCUCGAAAUGACUGGGCGUAAAGGGCGCGUAGGCGGCGAUCAAAGUCAGGCGUGAAAUUCCUGGGCUCAACCUGGGGGCUGCGCUUGAUACUUGGUUGCUUGAGUGGGGAAGAGGGUCGUGGAAUUCCCAGUGUAGAGGUGAAAUUCGUAGAUACUGGGAAGAACACCGGUGGCGAAGGCGGCGACCUGGUCCUUGACUGACGCUGAGGCGCGAAAGCGUGGGGAGCAAACAGGAUUAGAUACCCCGGUAGUCCCUGUCUCUUAUAC